ensembl:snRNA U6 U6 spliceosomal RNA
GUGAUCACUUCAACAGCACGUAUACUAAAAUUAGAAUGAAAUAGAGAAGAUUAGCAUGGCCCCUGCACAAGGAUGACAUGCAAAUUCGUGAAAAAAAUUCCAUUUUU